UCUCGAUUGGUCUAGUGGUAAGGAUACCUGCUUGUCAUUAGAAAGCAAUUCGCAGGUGGCCGGGGUUCGAUUCCCCGAUCGAGAG